AAUUUUUGCAAAGGUAAGAGAUAAUUUAUUAUAACCAGUUCAAUUUAAAAACUAAAGCAAGAAUGUAAAAGUAAAUUCUAAUCGAAGUUAGUGUUUUAGGUUUGUUACAAAACCUAGUUUUGAAUCGAGGUUAGUGUUUUAGGUUUGUUACAAUACCUUUAUGUUUUACAGAAAAAAAGAGGAUAGCCCCCCCUACAGAAGGUGUGUUAUGACUUAUUAUCACUUUACUUUGUAGAUAGCUGCAAUUUGAAGAUUUUAUUAAGCGCAGGACGGCAGCAGAGGUGGUAUGUAUUUAUUGGUAUUUAUAUAUUGUUCCAGUUUUACUCCCUUUUCACAUUUAGGGAGGAGGAGAGGAGGUGAUCGGGGCUGCGGAGGACGUCGCGACGCCCGAAGUUGUUCCGGCGGCCGAGGUUGUUUCGGCGGCCAAGGUUGUUUGAAAACAAUGGAGAUGUUAUCCAACCUCAGCAAUGCCAUAUUAACCGAUAUGUAAUAUAUUGAGAAUUGGCAGGGUCUUACACGACACACAGUGUACCUUGCUGUUAUAGCAUAUGCUUCAAUAAUAAGCAUUGGCCAGGUCAUACACGAAACAGUGUAUGUUGCUGUUAUAGCAUAUGCUUGAAUAAUAAGCAUUGGCCGGGUCAUACACGAAACAGUGUACGUUGCUGUUAUAGCAUAUGCUUGAAUAAUAAGCAUUGGCCGGGUCAUACACGAAACAGUGUACGUUGCUGUUAUAGCAUAUGCUUGAAAAAUAAGCAUUGGCCGGGUCAUACACGAAACCGUGUACGUUGCUAUUAUAGCAUAUGCUUGAAAAAUAAGCAUUGGCCGGGUCAUACACGAAACCGUGUACGUUGCUAUUAUAGCAUAUGCUUGAAAAAUAAGCAUUGGCCGGGUCAUACACGAAACCGUGUAUGUUGCGGUUAUAGCAUAUGCUUGAAUAAUAAGCAUUGGCCGGGUCAUACACGAAACAUAGUGUAAGUUGCGGUAAGCAUUGCUUGAAAAUAAGGGUUCUCUAUCAUACACGAGAACUAUCUAAGUUUUAUUUUCUAACAACCAAGGUAUAAGAACCUACCGCUACACCAGCUAACAUUGAAAUAACCUAAAAAGUUAAGCGCAUGGCCAGAGGGAACACAAGGAAUGUAAAUGCAAUUACUGGGCAAUGUAAAGACGCGCGCAGGCAUCCGCAACGACUUUAACUUGUAGAAUUUAGAAAGACGGUGUAGUGUUUACAUACCGGCCCCAAAAUGACAUGUCCAAGGUAUAAAAGGAACCUCUACCGCUGCACAGCUAACACUAAGUAUUCAAUGCCCGUGCCGGCCCAGUAAAAACGUAAGUUAUCCCUUACACUUAGUACAUGUUUUUAUGCAUAUAUAUAUAUAUAUAUAUAUUUAAUUAAUUUUCCAACUAUAUUUUUAAAAUGUUAUUGGUAGAAGAACAAAACAUUUUCCUACUCAAUAUAGACCGAAUUCUGAGCCUCACAAAGUGUAUUUUGUAAAGCCCUGUGUAUGAAAUAGGAAAUGAAUAUAGAGGUAAAUAUUAAAAUGGGGUGGUUCAGUUUUAUUUAAUAUUUUACAUGAUUUAAUUUUUCGCAGUUUGAAGGCAGAGGUUCGCAGGUUUUAUAUAUAUAAAAAAAAAAUCAGAUAGAUUGGCAAAAAAAUGCCAGACUACAAAAGUAAAUAGCUAUUUUAAAAUAGAUUGGCAAAAAAUGCCAGACUGCAAAAGUAAAUAGCUAUUUUAAAAUAAAUCCCAGGUUAUUCUUAAUUUGUUUACUUUUUAUUAACAGAGAAGGAAUUAUUCACAAAAGCAAAAAGUAAGUUACGCAAAUAUUCUAUAGCCUAACAAAAAACAAUAAUUACUAUUUUAAAUUUGCAGGUGAAUACCAAAACAAAUAAGAUGUUGUAUCUCUUGUACAUCAUCUAAACCCCUUUAAAAAGGCCUGUGUCUCUUCUCAGACACUUUGUUUGUGUAAAUAUUUUCAAAUUAAAAAAAAUAAAAAAUUCACUUGUAUCUAUUUUAACAUCUUGGG